rfam:Schistocephalus solidus strain NST_G2 genome assembly, scaffold: SSLN_contig0029318
CGGUCCGUGGCUCAAUGGUAGAGCGUUUGACUCAAAAAUCAAAGGUUUCGGGUUCGAAUCCCAGUUGUUCCA